UACGUAGGGCGCAAGCGUUGUCCGGAAUUAUUGGGCGUAAAGAGCUCGUAGGCGGCUUGUCACGUCGAUUGUGAAAGCCCGAGGCUUAACCUCGGGUCUGCAGUCGAUACGGGCUAGCUAGAGUGUGGUAGGGGAGAUCGGAAUUCCUGGUGUAGCGGUGAAAUGCGCAGAUAUCAGGAGGAACACCAGAGGCGAAGGCGGCGACCUGGACAGAUACUGACACUCGAACUACGAAAGCGUGGGUAGCAAACAGG
rnacentral:rRNA from 1 species